CGCCUCCUUUUCCUCUACUUCCAUGAACUUCCCCCGCGCCCUUCUCCUCGUAGCCGCCGGUAGGGCGGGAGUCGCCGCGCGAGCAAACAGCAGGUGGCGCUCGAGCGCCGCGUCCGGAAGUGGGGGGGGGUAACUCGGCGGGGGGGGGGCGGAAUCUGCCCGGCAACACGUGACGCGCCCGGCCCGGCGGGAGCGGGGAUUGGCUGCCGCCCUCCGCCGACCGUCAGACGGGAGCAGCGCCAGCCGCGGAAUUCAGCGUCCCGUCGGCCGACCGGGAGGGGAAUGUGAACCGGAUGGACGGCUCGGCGCCGGGAAUGCCGUCCGGAGCCUGACUCCCCGGGAAGCGGACGCCCCGGGUGUUUUCACGGAUGAGGGAACUGAGGCUAAGAGAAGUUAAGUGACUGCGUGCGGAGCACUAGCCCCAAGCGCCGGGGAGCCGACGGGGCGGUCGGGUCGUCUGACGGCCUUCAUCCCCAUUUCACAGCCGAGGUCACCGAGGCCCCGAGUCACGCGGCCGGCGGAGCCGGGACCGGAACCCGUGAAGCCCGCCUCCGGAGCCCGGGCUCUUCUCGCGGCCGGGCGGAGGGUGAGGAGGGGCCCCCCGGGCGCUGACCAUGUCCCCGGCGGGCGGGCGGCCGUACCGCUGCCCCGACUGCGGCAAGAGCUUCCGCUACAGCUCCGUCCUGCGCCUGCACGGGCGCGUCCACGCCGGCGGC